rnacentral:rRNA from 1 species
GACAGAGGGUGCAAACGUUGUUCGGAAUUACUGGGCGUAAAGCGAGUGUAGGCGGUUUCCUAAGUCAGGUGUGAAAGCCCCGGGCUCAACCCGGAAGUGCACUUGAAACUGGGAGGCUAGAGUACUGGAGAGGUUGGUGGAAUUCUCGGUGUAGAGGUGAAAUUCGUAGAUAUCGAGAGGAACACCGGUGGCGAAGGCGGCCAACUGGACAGAUACUGACGCUGAGACUCGAAAGCGUGGGGAGCAAACAGG